CCAGACUCCUACGGGAGGCAGCAGUGGGGAAUAUUGCACAAUGGGGGAAACCCUGAUGCAGCGACGCCGCGUGAGUGAGGAAGUAUUUCGGGAUGUAAAGCUCUAUCAGAAGGGAAGAAAAUGACGGUAACUGACUAAGAAGCACCGGCUAACUACGUGCCAGCAGCCGCGGUAAUACGUAGGGGGCAAGCGUUAUCCGGAUUUACUGGGUGUAAAGGGAGCUUAGGCGGCUAUUCAAGCCAGAUGGGAAAGCGCGGGGCUCAACCCCGGGACUGCUUUUGGAACUGUGUGGCUGGAGUGUCGUAGAGGCAGGCGGAAUUCCUAGUGUAGCGGUGAAAUGCGUAGAUAUUAGGAGGAACACCAGUGGCGAAGGCGGCCUGCUGGGCGAUGACUGACGUUGAGGCUCGAAAGCGUGGGGAGCAAACAGGAUUAGAUACCCCAGUA
rnacentral:rRNA from 1 species